rnacentral:misc_RNA from 1 species
GUCGUCGCUGAAUGGGUACCUUUGAGUAAACAUUUAUUUGCAAAAGUUUAAUAAUUACAGAAUUGCCACUGUACUAAUUAUUCAAAUACUUCAAGUCCCUCUCAUUAUAUUUAUUUAUAUUGCGAAGAUCACGGCUGCCUGAAGAUUAUAAAUGUAACAAUAAACAGUAAUUUAAACUAUCGUUUUUCCAACCAUUCAGACACCUUGGAUAUCCCAAGGGUAGGGAAGAUACCAAUGCCAAACAAACCUUUCACGCGGAAACACUGGCUAAACUGAAUUAUACAAGCCAUUGCAAUUAAUUAGCCUUAAUAAGAAUUAUAGGAAGAAUCGCAAUUAUAAGAGACGUUAGCUGUACCGACCAAGGGUCGGGAGAGAGGGGCUUGAUUCCACGGGCAACGUUGGCAGGCAGUUUGUGGAUAACCGAAAGAGGAGCAGCGCCACUGGUGCGGCUACAGGCAGGCAAAAUGCUGGCAACGAGGAUGGAAGACAGAAGCGCGAAGAAGAGAACGAGAAAGAAGGAGGAUGAG